rnacentral:rRNA from 1 species
AGUGAACGCUGGCGGUAGGCCUAACACAUGCAAGUCGAACGGCAGCACAGUAAGAGCCUGCUCUUACGGGUGGCGAGUGGCGGACGGGUGAGGAAUACAUCGGAAUCUACUUUUUCGUGGGGGAUAACGUAGGGAAACUUACGCUAAUACCGCAUACGACCUACGGGUGAAAGCAGGGGAUCUUCGGACCUUGCGCGAUUGAAUGAGCCGAUGUCGGAUUAGCUAGUUGUCGGGGUAAAGGCCCACCAAGGCGACGAUCCGUAGCUGGUCUGAGAGGAUGAUCAGCCACACUGGAACUGAGACACGGUCCAGACUCCUACGGGAGGCAGCAGUGGGGAAUAUUGGACAAUGGGCGCAAGCCUGAUCCAGCCAUACCGCGUGGGUGAAGAAGGCCUUCGGGUUGUAAAGCCCUUUUGUUGGGAAAGAAAAGCAGCAGGUUAAUACCCCGCUGUUCUGACGGUACCCAAAGAAUAAGCACCGGCUAACUUCGUG